GUCAGGCCCUGGGGAGUACAGGGCCAGGCCUGGGGCAAAAGGCCGGUGGGCGUCCAGUACGCCACAGGGACCAGCCAAAGGAGGCAGUGCCCAGUGAUGCUUUCCCAAAUCCAGGGGAGAAGGACUCAACGGCCCAACCCAGAGCUGGAUCACAAGGAAGACUGGAAGCUCCACUCCCCCAUGGAGCUUCCCUGUUACCAGAGGACACAAACACACAUCUGCAUGUUGAUCUGAGAGCCCUGUGUGGAGAGGAACUAGGCCCCCAGCCAACAACCAGCAGUGACUCACUGUGAGAGAGUGAAUCAUCUUGGAAGUGGAUCCUAAGCCCCAAUAGAGACUUCAGAUGAAACUGCAACCCUGGCUGACAUCUGACUGCAGUGGCAUAAGAAACCCUUAUGUCAGAAUCACCCUGCAAAGCCCAAAUUCUUGACCCACCAAGUGAAAGAGAAUAAAUGACGAUUGUUGUGUUUGAACUCCCAUGUUUUUGGGUAAUCAGUUCCACGGCAAUAAAUAACUAAUGUACUAGA
rnacentral:lncRNA from 1 species